CCUACGGGGCGCUGCAGUGGGGAAUAUUGCGCAAUGGGCGAAAGCCUGACGCAGCGACGCCGCGUGAGGGAUGAAGGUCUUAGGAACGGACACCUCUGUCAGCAGGGAAGAACGGUCACUGUGCUAAUCAGCAGUGAAUUGAAGGUACCUGCAACGGAAGCAACGGCUAACUCCGUGCCAGCAGCCGCGGUAAUACGGAGGGUGCGAGCGUGAAUCGGAAGUAAGGGGCGUAAAUCGCGCGUAGGCGGUAUGUCAAGUCAAGGGGGAAAUCCCCGCGCUCAACGUGGGAACUGCCUUUGAAACUGGCAAACUGGAGUGUGUGAGCGGAUAGUGGAAUUCCAGGUGGAGGAGUGAAAUCCGUAGAUAUCUGGAGGAACAUCAGUGGCGAAGGCGACUAUCUGGCACAUAACUGACGCUGAGGAGCGAAAGCGUGGGUAGCAAACAGGAUUAGAUACCCCAGUAGUC
rnacentral:rRNA from 1 species